rnacentral:rRNA from 1 species
AAGGUUUUUGGAUCGUAAACCCCUUUUGUCAAGGAAGAAGCUCUGACGGUACUUGACGAAUAAGCCUCGGCUAACUCCGUGCCAGCAGCCGCCGGUAAUACGGAGGAGGCAAGCGUUAUCCGGAAUGAUUGGGCGUAAAGCGUCUGUAGGUGGCCAGCUAAGUCUGCUGUUAAAGAUCACAGCUCAACUGUGGGAAGGCAGUGGAAACUGGCAAGCUAGAGGUUGGUAGGGGUAAAGGGAAUUCCCGGUGUAGCGGUGAAAUGCGUAGAUAUCGGGAAGAACACCGGUGGCGAAAGCGCUUUACUGGGCCAGACCUGACACUGAAGGACGAAAGCUAGGGGAGCGAAAGGGAUUAGAUACCCCUGUAGUC